rnacentral:lncRNA from 1 species
GUGAACACUCACUUUAUACUGAUAUACGAAGCAAAUACAGAAUUUGGGUACAAGACCAUGAAGGUCUAUGAGGGGAGGUUGGACAAAAAUGUCUAGAGACUGACGGCGGAAGCGACUCGUGGAAUCUCCAGUGUUCAUGGGCUCCGUUGCCACAAGAACAGUUGACCUGGAUACUUCCUAUCUCACAUGGAUACUAUCCUCAACUCUCAGGUUCCGAGGUUACUAUCAUCGUGCUCCUCUCCAGAUAUGCGAUCUGGACAAGACAAUAGCCAAGGACAAGUUAGUGAGUACUUUGAAUGUACUCGCAAACAUCAACAAGACACAUAAGUAAAAGCAGGUGAGAUGCAUGCACACACAUUUUAAUACCACCUGAUAUGCCACAAGAUUAAAUUCGUGGGUUCAGUUAUGUAGUUAAAUAAUUUCUACUCAUGACGUAUAAUAAAGCCCCCCCCCCCCCAUAGCUAAUUUAAAGGUGUCAAACGGGCGUCGAAGGCAACACCUCGUAAGCACACACAUUAUAAGCCACAAUCGAGCAUCUGGGCGAGACCGCAUAGAGGGCUUACAAUGAGAUAAUGACAUGUGUGUGGUAGUUGGGCAAUUGGGACGACUCCACAAAAAGGGCUUAUGACAUAUAAUAAUGAUGAACAUAAUUACAUGCAUGUUACAAUCGGGCAUCUAAGAGACAGCACAUAAAGAGCUUAUAUAAAAGUACUAGCAGUUUCCACACUCGGGCGUCUACGUAAUACCAUGGAAAGAGUUUUAUUGGAAGUACUAACAAUUGCCAUAGUCGAGCGUUGUUCGGGCUGGGCACACCAACGUGAUCAAGGGGAAGGGGUUCGUCUUCUAGAGGGUGUUGGGGUUGCUGGAGAGCUCGGGACUGAGCACGACUUCAACCAGGCGGAUGGAUGCCUUCGGCAAUCAUAGCUCCACCUGCGGCUUGCCACCUAUGGAAAUGGGCAUGGGGAUGGGUUGUAGUGUCGUGGGCAAACAUACCGGGGCUAUGGUCGGUUGGUUCAGUCUAGGGUUCGUCGGAAUUCGGCCGGACAUUGGCGGCGGUGAAACUGCCGGAGGCGAGCAAGGAAGGUGGCUCCGACCAAAUUGGAGCUAGGGGGAGAUGGCUGCAGGUCUAGGGUGUUGGUGGGUUACUGGGUGUUCUCGGGGCCUCCCUUUAUAGCCAGGCAGUGGUGGUUCCGUUGCGGCCCGAGGAUAAGAUCGCCGACGCAAAUUCUGGCGAUGGCCGGGGAGGUAGGGCUAGUUUGGUGGGGUUUGGAGUUACCAGACUGAUGCAACAGUGGUCCAGGGGGUUAGCUCGCGCAUGGGGAAGGCUUGGGGGAUGCUGGCCACUCUUGCGUUAGAAGCAGAAGCCGGCUAGCCACCAGGGUUGCGGUGGCUGAUGCUCUGAGCGGUACAGGGUAGUGGCGACACGCGGUCAGCCUGGCAUGCAACAUGUGUGCACUACAGGCGGCCACAUGGGCGGGGGCAGGUGGACGCAGCAACUCGGGGGCAGUGCAUGCAGAACUUGCGCUCUAGCCACACACAGAGCAUGCGCGACACCUAUUCAACAAAAUGCCAGACCCACCUAAGGGAAUUUUCUAACAAUGAAAAUUGGGGGGCUAAGGUUGCUUUAGAUGCUAAAGAUAGUGGUGAGGUUAGUUUGGCAAAAACAAAAACUUGCUAAUGCAAAUUUUGGAGAAAAACAAAUCUGGUCAGAAAAUGUAGGCUGUUAUUCCAUGCACUUAAAAUAAUUCAAUGGAGCUCAACUUCUAGACUUAAGGGUUUGGUAGGGGGAUAUAUAAGUUGAAAAAAUUUAGGGCCAUGUGAGCAAGAUAAAAUAGGGCUGUUGUUCAAAAUGCGAAUCCGGUCAAUAAUGGAAAUGAGGAAGUGCUGCAUGAAUUUUUGAAAGGACAACCAUGAGAUUUUGCAUAAAAGUGAAUCAUAAAUAUCCCUUGACAUCUCCAAUUUUUUGUGGAAUUUUUAAAUAAUUUUAUGAAACGGUUGUAGUGCAAAGGAGGCUCUCAAAAUGAUGAAAAUAUCUUUAAAAGGAAUUAAUUGUCAAAAAAAUUAUUAUAAAAUUGUCUCCCUUAAAUUAGUAAAAUGGAAGGAAACAAUUUCAAACAAUUACUCAAGCACACAAUGAUCUUCAAAAGUGCUACUUGGAGAGAAAAGUUCUUGGGAAGAGGCUUUGAAAUGAGCAAAGAGGCAAUUUAUUUUUCAAAUUUUUUAUUCCAUGCAAUUUUUUAAUCAGUAAAAAAGUGAUUAAAUUUUUGGGGUGUGACAUGGUCGCCAUGUCUUGAUGGUGCGCGCUUGUCCACUUGCGUGUGGGUGUUGCGUGAAAAGUACAUGCACCAGGUCCUUGAUGAGGUGAUGCAUGUGUGGAUUGUGCCCAUGAGCGAGAACUUGGUUCUAUAGGCUCCCAGCUCUGCCAGGGCAGACCCAGGCCAAGGCACCAUGCCCAGCCUUGCGAGUGCGAGGCCCAGGAUAAACUGGCGGGCACGUGCCACAGGGUCAGUCCCUUGUUGUCUUCGUCGUCCCCUAGGACGCGGUAUGGGGCUUCCGCUGGGUCCGGGCGUGGUAAGAAAAGAGGAAACCAAGGAAAUUCCACAAAACCCACAAGACAAAAACUUUCAUCAAAAAACCCGAGGCUAACUUGUUAGCGAGUCCAAAAAGGGGGGUGUGGCUUGUCGUAUCUAACAUGGGUCAGCCUGGUGGGCUCGUUCAUAGGUUGAAGAAAAAGGCGAAUAAAACGGUUCUCGUAUGCAUCACGGGUCAACCUAGAAAGAAAAGCGAUUGCUGUAUCCAGCAUGGGUCAACCUAAAAAAAGAGGUGCGACUCGCGAGGCAUCUUCUUCGAUCAUAUUGUUCCACCAGCGGGGAGCAUAGGGACUUCCAAUUGGGUGUGGGCGAGGGCCCUCCACCAAGGCCACGACGCGACUCAUCGUGCGGUUCCACUUAGGAGGCCCCUGGGCGUGUAAAGCCCCAAAACUCAUUAUUCCGUGUGAGUGUAACGGGCGCCGAUAGUUGGGCGGAUACCCUAGGCACAAGGCUUAGGAGUUCCUAACCGAGUCUUCAAGUGCGCUCCUAUGGCCCAAGCAUGAGUGUCGUCCCCGCCAUGCAUAACCCUAGGAGUGCCAUUGCAUGCUCCUAAAGCCCAAUCAUGAGUGCCAUUCACACCCCGCAUAGCCGUAAGAGCACGUUAUCAAGAGAGUCAUCAUGUGAGGUUGCGAGGCGCCCAUCCAGCAGAAGGGCGAGCCGAGUGAUGUCCCCUUCAUCUGUUCGCGAUGGCUUGUCGAGAGGGUGCGAUACUAAGGACCUUGGUGAGAUGGCUAGCACGGGUGGCCAACUCGUGAUCCAAACCUCGGUCACUUAGAUUUCUCGGCGCUGUGAGGACAAGUCCUCCACAGACGCCAUGUGUAAGACCUCACCGUCAAUCCUUCCCUAGGCGGUUGCAGGGGAGCGUCAUCCCCCGGCGCCGUUGGAACACCACAGCUCGAAGUUAAGACAAACUACACCAUCUCCAGUGAAGGUUAUUUGGGUUUGUUACACAUCCAAUAAACGCCCACUCGAGGCGAGACAAAAUACACGGAACUGCCUGGGUCAAGCAUCCCAAUAAGUCACCUGGCGGCCAUGCUGCUGCAGGAGCAUCAGGCCGCUUGACGACGCGUGCUGCCGAGGCCAUCCCUUAUGGAAGGGGAGGGCGACUCGCUCCGGAAGCUUCAACACCUUAGGGGAUGACUCAUGAGUCCUCACGGGCCUGCGGGGUUCGGCGCUUCACGAGGCGUGCACGACCACACCUCUUGCAGCUUGCUAGUCUAUUGAACGAUGAACUCCCGCAUCCUUGGCGCCCUACACCAUGCUUCUAUCAUGUGGCGGAGUUGGCCGAGGUGCGCCACCACAUUGUUUCCAAGUGCCGAUACGUCGUGCCGGCUAAGCCACGCGACUCCUAGCCGGGAGCCCCCAAGCCUGGCCUGAUGAGGGUGUCGGGCGUAGCAUCCUAUGCCCGAGGGAGGUGCACACCGAUCGAAGGCGCGAGGUGCGGGGCGCCGACGCUAGCCACGGCACUCCCUGGCCCGUCGGAGCAAACGGGGCCCGGUGUGAGGCAGUGUAAUCGCAUUUGACAGAUCCGCCUACCCGGCAGUCCUCCGUGUUAUGGGUGUGUGCAUUGUUGUGAGCAUAGAACAUCACGCUGAACCUUCUGGGCGUGCCCCCGCGGUAGCUCGGCGGCGGCCGAGAGCCGGCCACCAGGAUCCGGAGGAACAAGAGCAUGGCGGCGAGCGUACCUCGCUCGGGCCCUUCAAGCUGAGGCCCAAGCGAAUCGUCGCGUUGUGGUGGAGGUGGCUCAUUGGNNNNNNNNNNNNNNNNNNNNNNNNNNNNNNNNNNNNNNNNNNNNNNNNNNNNNNNNGAGCGUCGGCCAUGGGGUCGGUGAAGCUGGAGUGAAACAGGAGAUGAAGAGCGUCUAUGCACCCCUACGUGGCGUGCUAAAUGUUAGAAUCGGGGCUCCGCUGACCCAAAAAAGGUUUGAACUCUAGGGUGCGCUCUGUUUCCAACCUUGUUCUAUCUCUCAACUUCAUGGCUACUCUUCGGCAUCUCUAGCUAAGGAAGGCGAUCAAGAACACACGAGUAGUUUACCCAGGUUCAGGCCACAUUGCGAUGUGAAACCCUACUCCUGCUUGUUUGGAUUGCUUGAGAUGGAAUACGAGUAUAAAUGGGGGUUCUUGCCCUAGUCGAGAAUAACCAGGAUGCCAUCUCCCGCGCUACGGAGGCUGGGCCUCUCUUUUAUACUAGCCUUGGUCCUCUUCCCCGAAAACACAAUUGGCAGGAAGGGUUGCCACAAAGGCAAUUUUGAAAGGGGGCGGGACUGCGGCCUGCCCUGACAAAGGUGGUCUUCGCCUGCAAAAACCAUUCUCCAUGACGCGUUGACGGGCUCGGGGUGACCUCCAUCCUGCCAAGACCCCAGCCUUGGUCCUCUUGCAACAAUCAGGAAACCUUUGGGAGAUGCUCUAGGUGCCCGCCAGCGGGCUACAUUUCUUUAGCAUGAAAGUGGAAAUCCUCCCUGUCCAUGCUUGCUAGCACCAUUCCUGCGCCGCCUGCGCGACCUACGUCACUGUAGGAUCCGAAGUAUGUCUAUAGGUAAUGAUUAGACUACUUGACAUGAUAGAAAACUUAUCUUUUUCCCAAUUUCAGUUGUGCGGUAGUUUUGGCAAUUAUGACUAGUCAAUUUCACCCUACACAUGUAUAACUAAGAGUGCAACAGUGCAAAGUAAAGACAUGCAAAUGUAAUGUAGAGGGUGGGGUAGGAAAAUCAAACGCAAAUGUUGACACAAGAAUUUUUGGUGUGGCUCCGAUAGGUGGUGCUAUUGUACGUCCAUGUUAGUGGAGAUUGCAAUGCACACAGGCUAAUGUUUGUGAGACUCCACGGAGGGCUCCACCCAUAAGGGGUCCACGAAAAAGCGGUCUUGUCUAUUCCGCCAUGGCUUAUGUCCACACAGGACUAGCCUCACUCACGGUAGAACUUCCCGAACUAGGCGCUCUCCUUGCCCUUACAAACUUCUUGGUUCAACACAACAACACGAAGUAGGAGGUUCCCAAGCAACACCUAACCAAUCUAGGAGGCACCACCCUCCAAAAGGUAAUGUAUGUGAUAGAACGAUGGACUCCGUGCUCUUGUUGUUCAAAAAAUAGUCUCCUCAACACUCAAUAACUCUAUCACAGAUUUGGCAUGGGUAGGAGAGAUUGAUUUUGUGGAAAGCAACUUGAGGAGGCUAUAGAUCAAGUUUCAAAUGGUUGGAUUGGAAUCUCUUGAUCUCAACACAUAAGUAGGUGACUCUCUCUUAGAAAAAUGGAUUUGGCAAGUGUAAGUGUGUUCUGAGUGCUUCCUCUUUGAACGAGUGGAGGUGGAUGGGGUAUAUAUAAGCAUCCCCCAAAAUCCAACCAUUACAACACUAUUUCCGAACUCACUGACACCAAAAAGAAUCUCGAUGGUACCGAGUUGCACGAGAGGGGGGGGGGGGGGGGGGGACUAAUAUAUGAAUCUCGUUGGUACUGAUAUGAUGACCUGGACCAGUUUCCAAAUCUCGGUGAGACCUAUUCCAAUCUCGGAAAUUCCGAUUCUUGAAAUUUUCCCAAUGGAAAGUUGGUCACUGAAUCAAGGUGGCACCGAUAUGAAAGUUGGUGGUACCGAGAGAUUAGGGUCUGGCAAAGGAACCGUCUGGUGGAAAAUUGGUAGGGCCGAGUGAAAAAAGUUGGUCGCACCGACUUUGCUGGUUUUCUUUGGAUAGAGACAUUUUGUGGGAGAAUAGUUGAAGAUUUUUGGUGACUACCUCUAAGCACUUGAGCAAUCAAUUCAUCAUAAUACCUCGCCCCUUUUAAUUGUAUUGGCUUUACUAUGGAGUCAAAGUGAUUUCUCAGAAAUGUAGAAUGUAGAGUCUUCUUGCUUGAAGCUUGAGCCGAUCCUAUUCCUUUGCUUCAUCAAGGGGUUUCUCCUCACAAUCCUUUAGACAAGGCGUCUUUGAACUUUUUUGAAGUAUACUUGGAUAAGAUCAUUAGUCCAAUGAUGCAUAUGUUGUGAUCAUUUAUCAAAACCACCUUAGGGAGCAAUUGUGUCACACCCUGUGUUUUACCACUUUGCUACAUUAUGUUUUUGCAAAAUUUGGAACCAAUUUAAACUUUUUGAGUGCUUGUGAUGGUUGUUUUGAUUGCAACAUGCUUGUGUGAUUGAUUGUGUUCUAUGUUACCAAAGUUAUUAUUCUCUCCAAAACUUGCUCUCCUUGAUCCAAACCCUUAACCAAUGACCAUGCCAUGUGUGUAGGACAAUGAACUAUUGUUAUAAAAAUGUUAUCUCAACAGAAGGGCAUUUAUUUAUUUUAGAAGUUUCAAAACCCCUAAAUUGGGAUUUUCACUACAAGUCCCUAAUUUAGGAGGGAUGUUCUACCCCAAAGAUUUUAUUUUGAUUCUAUUAUCAAAAUGAUUUCCCAAAACCACAAAAUAAUUAUUUUAAAUGUUAUUUUCCUAUUUUAUUUAAACACCAUUUUCUUGCGUUGAAAAUAUUUGGGAAAAUAUAGGGAAACUCAAUGGACAUAUAUUUUCCAUAGACAUGAGUUUCAACACAUGGUGAUGUUCAAAAUAUCGGACAAAACCCCUCAAAACCCUUUCUGCCUAUUUCAAGAUUUUGAAAUAUUUCCAAACGAAAUACUCUCAAUAAAUUCCAGGAAAAUUCUACCAAGUCACCUAUGGUAUAGGUGGUGACCCUGCAAAAUUUCAUCUCAAUCCAAGUUGAUUUGGUUCACCUAAGAACCUCAAAACCCUCUCCGUCCAGAGCCAAAUAUGAGCAAUUUCACAUUGCCAAGUUUAUCCAAUUGAUCUCAAAUUUUAUAUAGGUGAUCUAGGCCCCAAAUAAGGAUGCUACACCAAGUUCUAAAUGUGUGGGCUUGAUUUGGUCACCAAAGUAAUCACGAAUAUGAUUCUGUCAAUUCUUGGGUAUUUUCAUGUUUACAUUGCCAACUUUGCUCAAAUGAGCUGACACUUGGUGAACACUCUUGGUUUCUACCACAGUGCAAUACUGUUAGCUUUCACAACAAUUGGGUCAAGGUAACUUGCCCAAGCAAUCAUCAAACACCUUCCACUAGUUUGGUAAAAUUGCUACGUUCACCACCUUUUCUCAUCUCCUUCAUUUCAAUUUUCUACGACAGCUUCUCGUGGUGAUGCUCUCCACCCUAGUAACUAUCCCACGUCCAUAGCUCAAUUAUUGGUGGUGUAAAAACCCCAAUUGCCCUCCUGGACAACAAGAUUUCAUCUCUCUCUCCACUCCUCCCUCUCUCUCUCUGUCGAAUCUCGAGAGCAUCCAAAGCCUUUGCCCACUUGUUUAAUUCCCCCUUGAUCCCCUAGACACGCUUGGCCACGCAAAACUUGUCUUUGGCACGCCUGGUAUGCAAUUCUCUGGAGCGCGGUAUAGUGCCCAGCUGCAUUAUAGCCGCCCUCUGACCGACGCUGCCGACCGCCUAGAGCCACUCCAUAACGAUAGUCGUGGCGUGUGGGCAUCACGACCAUCUCCCCUAUCGCCCCUCCUCUCUCUCUCCAACGGACAUCCCCGACGUGCCCGAGCAUCGCCCAAUUCGGCCAACCACAGGCCUCACGCGCGCAGGUCACCACACUCCCUCUCUUAUCUCCCCUUCGCCCUGAACUGACUGCAUGAACUCCCUAGACACAUUCUAGCUCACCCCUUGCCCCUUGUCCUCGACCUCAAGCUUGCCAGUGCACCAAGCCUUCGGUGCACCGCAACCACUCCUAUUUAAAGGCCCCUAGGCCUCUCUCCUUCCCUUCUUCUCUCACCCAACCCCAAUCGCACCCUUGCAACAGUCCCACUCCACUCCUCCCUCUAUGUGCUCGGAAUUGAGCUCGGCACCCCUUCUUCGGCCACCAUUGAUUCCCCAUGGUAGGAUGCCGCUCUGGCCAUUCUUUCUCUCCCUCUAGAACGACAACUCGAAUCUAAUACCUCCCCCUCUAUUUCCCCGUCGGUUUGCUGCAGGAAACCACUCCCGCGACUCCUUCCCGAAGCUCCUCCGCCGCGGGUGACCGUCGCUGGUGACAUCCUGCACCUCCGGCCUUCCUUCGACCACUAGCAUAAUGACGGUACCAUUCUGAGUCAGUUCCCGCCUCUUGCUUCCCUCGCCAUCACCGAAAUUGUCGCUGGUGAGCUUCCCCUCACCCCUGUCGGGAGGUAGAAGACGACCGCAGGGUGGGACCCGCACGUCAGCCUCUCCUUCCUCUCAUCUCUCUCGCUGGCAGGGCACGCAUGUAGGUUAAAAAUAAACCUACCACGCGCGCAAGCCCUUACACGCGUGGGCUGCUUUAUCUAGGCCGGCCCAGUUGCUAGCGCCUAUGGCCACUCUGAGGCCCCCCUCCCUUUCUUUUUCCCUUUUCCAUUUCUUUAUAUUUUGGAAAAUUUCCACAGAAGCCAAAAUGCAUCCAAACCAUUUAUUCGUUCACCACAAAUAUUGUAAUAUUGUGUAGUAUUUAAUAACAUCACUUGAGUAAUUUUACAGAAACUUUUAUACACUGUUUUAUUUUAGAAUCUAGUUUCAAACAUUUUUACCUUUUGUUAAAAUGUUUUUCACAACUUUUUACACCUCAAAAAUAAAACCUAGGUAUUUUUACAAUACCUACAAUCACCCUAGUAUUUUACAAAAAAGAGUGACAUUUUUCUGAGUAAAUUAUUUUCCCUAUUUGGUGGUGUUCUUAUAUUUGCCCGUUAAUUUUGCAAUGAUAGAUUGCGUUGUUGACGAAGGACUUGGACGAGAAGAUUUUGAAGUCCCCGGAGACUUUGUUGAGCAAGGUAAGCAACCCUUGGACCAUGUCUAGAAAACCAUUUACUUUUGCAUGAGAUGUAGCACUAUAUUUCAUUGCAUUGGAUUCAUGUUGAGUCGGUGACCACCUUGGUGGGUUGUCCCCGAGAACCCCUCGUUGAUACUUGCACGUGAGCAUGACCCUACCACCUAUGAGGGUUGUGAAGGUGGGAAGUAGCUAGGAUGCCAAUAGCCGCUACGCAAAUGGGACGGUAUUAUGCAUGAGACAAACAAAGAAAUGAUUUUUGAGGCUUUUCAAAAACCCCGUCGGGUGACAAAAAUGCCCGAGGGAGAAUGUGUGAGAAUGGGUGACCACUUGAGGAAUAAGUUGCGUACCGAGAAAACUUUUGUGUGAGUGGUUUCGGAAACGGGAUUAGAUUUAAGAUUUGUCGAUCGUCCCAACCUUACAUGUGUAACCAUGAUACCUCUUAUGAGACGGGGCUUUGUUGAUGACUUUGGUCGAUGAUAGCGAGAGUGGAGUGGUCACUCUCAUGACGGGGUCGUGCAAGGUAGGGCGACUAUGAGAUGUUUUCACACGCACCAGGCACAUCAUUGUUCCCAUCAUGGAUGUUACGAUCUAGAGCGAGGCUCGUAUGAUGUACAUCAUGAGGGCUGGGUACCAAUCGAGUGGACUCUUUGUUUAGUGUCACCAAGGGAAAACAUUUCUUGGGUGCUUACCUCGGGUAUGAGACAUACCGCAAGUCGUGGAUGGCACGGAAGUUCCCCGAGUCUCGUGGGUACAACGCGCAACCUCUGCAAAGUGUAAACUAUUCGAAUAGUCGAGUCCAUCCUCAAACACAGUUGGGUAGUGCUACUUAAACUACAUCCAGUUGUUUUUGCAUAAACCAAAUAAGUGUGUGUGUGUGUAAUUAUGUGGAAAAGAUGAUGAUAUGAGAAUGAUGAUACUUGAGCUAGGUCUGACGACUUGGUACGGGAAUUGAACGUGGGACGUUCAACCCCGGCUUAUGAUGAUGAUUAUAGCUUGCUCAUAUGGAUACCUAGAACAAGUUGAUGCACGUUGUACAAGAUUAAUCAUGUCAUUGCACUCAAAAACUAGCUUUCCGCAAAACUUACCUACUUAGUGCUAGAUCAUGAAUUAUUAUUGCCUUGCUCCACAUCAUGGGUUGCUUGUGAGUACAUUCAAAGUACUCAUUGGCUUGCCACUGGUUAUUUAAUUGGCCAGGCAUGGAAGAGUAGGAAUAUGGAGAAUUUUUGGUAGGAGACGAACACGCGAACUAGGACACUUCACAGUCAGCAUGCCUGUAGGUUUAAGGUAGAUAACUCGGGUUCACACUUUCGAUCAAGAUUUUUGUUGCUCGUUAUGUUUGGUGUGUUGACCUUCGAGGCCCUAUCUAUGAUAGACUUGACCUUUAUGGUCUCUAUUUGUAUCUGAGGGUAUGUAUGGACAUAAGAUUCUUGUUAUUCAGUUUCUGUGUCUUUAGUGAGCAUUGAUCUCUGGGAUCACCGUACACGUGCAUUUGGUCACCACGAUAUAUAAGUAGGGGUCCCAAAGAGCUGGUACCAAAGCCAUCCUGGUUGUAGGAAGCCUUCGUUAGCAUGGACGUCAGAUAGGAUAAACCCCUUUUCCCAAACUAUACCUAAUACCUAUACUUAGGAUUUUAUGUACUUCUUACCUCUUCCCAUCUACUUCCAAAAGCAUGCUGACACCCUCCCCUUAAUACUUUGUAGAUGGUCGUCGUACCUAGAGACCUCAUAGCAUCCAACUUUCCCCUACUCCUUGAGUAUAGCCUGGAGAAGUGUGAGUUCCGUCGAUCACCCGUUUUCCUCUACAAUGAGCACUGGGUCGAUGCCAGCACGAAGGAGUACCACAUUGAUGUGGUCGUGAAGGCAAAUGACUACUUGAUGAGUUGGUUCUUUGAAGGACCACAGAUGGAGACCUUGGCACUAGCAAUUGAGACACUUGCACAGAAGGCACCUGUCCACCUUCGAGACAUCAUUCCAGAGAUGGAUGAUGAGUCGGCUACUCACCACUUCCCGUUUAAAAAGGACGAUAGUGGGGAGAGUUGGACAUUGACCCCAUCCCCAGAGGAUGGAAGACCACUAAGAUUCUAGACCUACUUUGGCCUCUCCGCCGACAGUCUAGCUCAUAGCCUGAUUAAGGAGUCUGUGAGGCUCCACGAGGAACUUCACCGCACUCGUGAGCUACUCCGACUGGCCAAGGUGAAACCAGAUAAGAUCAAGAAGGAUGGAGCCCCCGAGGGACGACCAGCUGUCGCAUACCGAGGAGGAGUACCCCAGCCAUAGAUGCACCCACACGACGUCAUUGCAUGAGUGCGAAGGAGUAUUGUGGGCUCUUCAGUAUUCCACCGACAAAGUGUCGUCCGGAUAAACCUCUUCGUCCUCCGACCCCCUCGAUGUUAGACGAUGCCCGUACACACUAUGACUAGGAGGAAGACCCAGAGGAAUGUGACUACAAGACUGAGCAGUCCACCACUUGAAUCCGAGGACCACUAGGGUAGGAUAAGCCAUUCGAAGUCGAGUCUGUGUAAUGGUUCAUAUGAAGUCAUAUGUGCUUAUUGUUUGUUUUACUAUUUAUGUCUUGAUGCAAGUCGCAUUUUUUGCCUUAGGCGACAUGUAAGUGACUACAUCUCCUAUCUUAUCUUAAUGAUAUGCGGUGGGUCUUUUCGACCUUUGUUUGUCACACUUGCACUAUACCAACCCCCUUAGGCGCACAUUUUCUCUUGUUACCUUAUCUUGCAUUUAUCAGUUGUUUGACUGUGUCGCUCCAAAUAGGAUGGUGACUACGACUCACACCAGGACUUUUGCCAACCCUAGCAUCGGCAGCGCUAGCCAGCAGUCGGAGGCUGGUGGGUCUUCUCAAGUUGGAGGUCGCCAGGAGCGGCCACAACAUGACAUUCCCCCGCCACCUCCUCCAAUCGAGAACAUGACCAUAUCUCAGGUCCUCCAAGUUCUUCGGGAGGAGUGCCAAGCUAAUGCUACCCCUAUGCAUCAGUUGGCCCAGACCCUUGUGAAAAACUAUCAGCGGGGCAAGAACGGCAAUGGCUGCUCCACUCUGUUAGAGUUCAUGAGGAGUUUUUCACCAACCAUCACUGAGACUACUGAGCCUUUGGAUGCUGAUGACUGGAUCCACACCAUCGAGGCCCCCCUUCCGUUGGUCACCUUUAAUGAGGAUUGUGAGAAGGUUCUUUAUGCCUCUCACUGCCUCGGAGGUACCGCCAGAUCUUGGUGGGAUGGGUUCAAGGUUAUACAAGGCGACCGUGUUAUCACUUGGACUGAUUUCAAGCAACGGUUCCGCACCAGUCACAUCCCAUCUCAGAUUAUGGCUAUCAAGAAACAUGAAUUUUUAGCGUUUAAGCAAAAAAGUGGCUCUGUCAAGGAAUACCUACAAAAGUUCAACCUUCUAUCGAGGUAUGCAGCUGAAGACGUCAGCACUAAAGUAGCCAAGAUAGAACGCUUCAUGGAAGGGCUCCAGCAAGCCGUGUAGUAUCAACUUGUUGUCUGUGCUGUCGGACCUUCUUCGAGCUGGUGAACAAGGCUCUUAUGCUAGAAGACAAUCAUCGUCCCAUGGAGGACACUAGCAAACUCAAGAUGAUCACCAAGGGCAGCUCCAGCAACCAGAAGCCUCGCCCUUCGCAACCGGCCCCAGCAAAACCAACUUAUCAGCCUCAGCAAGUUAGGCCCCCUGCACCUCGUCCGAGCUACCAGCCUCAGCAGUAUGACAACCCCAGGCUGGCAUACAACAAACCCAACAACAGUGAUUCCAACAACAAGAAUUCAGGACAGGUCACCUUUUUUUGUUGUGGACAGCCUGGGAACUUCUCAAGGUUGUGCCCCAACAAGAAGCCCGAUGCACCACGCACCAAUGCGCCAAAUCAAGGACAAGGCCAUAGAGCGCCACCCAAGAACCCCGCUCCCCGCAACCAUCCCAACUAUGGAAAAUCUCGCGUGAACCACGUCACCACCGAGGAAGCCCAAGAAGCCCGGAUGUUUUUGUGGGUACGUUCCUUGUCAACUCAACCCCAACAACAAUAUUGUUUGAUUGUGGUGCUUCACAUUAUUUUGUUACUUACAAGUUUGCACAAAAGAGUGGCACGGAGACCACACCUUUGGGUAGUCUAGCGAUGGUACAAACCCCGGGUGCGGUAUUAAGGUCGAAUAUAGGCUAUAAAGGAGUUGUGAUUAAUAUCAAUGAUGUAGACUUCCUGGCAGAUCUUAUCAUCGUGAAGUAUGGCAAGAGGGAUGUCACUAUGACCAAUAGACAAGGAGUUGAGUUGGACCAAGUGUCAGUGGUCUGUGAGUACCCGGAUGUCUUUCAUGACAAACUGCACGGAAUACCUCGUUACCGAGACAUCGAGUUCAUUAUUAGGCUAAUGCCCGGAUCAAGACCCAUCUAUAAGUAGCCCUAUAGAAUGGGGUCCAUAGUAUUGGCUUAGUUGAAGAGACAACUCGCUGAGCAGCUCACGAAAAAGAUUUAUCUGCCCUAGUGCCUCUCCUUGGAAAUCUCAUGUUCUAUUUGUGUCCAAGAGGGACGGAACUAUUAGACUCUAUAUUGAUUAUCGUUCCAUCAAUGAAGUCACAAUAAAGAACAAUUAUGCACUCCCCAAGAUUGAAGACAUGUUCGAUCAUUUGAAUCGUGCCAAAGAAUUCUCCAAGAUCGACCUCAGGUCUGGUACUACCAACUGAAGAUUAGACCCAAAGAUAUUCUGAAGACGGCGUUCGUAACCCGGUAUGGCCUGUAUGAGUGCAUGGUCAUGUCAUUUGGGUUAACCAAUGUGCCAACCCACUUCAUGUACCUCAUGAACAAAGUCUUCAUGUAGUAUUUGGACAUGUUUAUCGUUGUCAUCAUCAACGACAUACUUGUCUUCUCCAAGUCUGUAGGAGAACAUGACCAACACUUGAGGAUGGUCCUGGACAAGCUUCAAGAGCACCAACUUUAUGCCAGAUUCAGCAAGUUUGAAUUCUGGCUGCAUGAAGUUCGAUUCUUGGGUCUUGUGACGACAACAUAAGGGUUGCCAGUUGAUCCUACCAAGAUUGAGGCUAUGACGACGUGGCAUUCUCCUACCAAUGUGAAGGAAGUUAGAAGCUUACUCGGAGUCGCGGUAUAUUACUGCAAGUUUGUCGAAGGGUUCUAAAGCAUCGCCGACCAAUGACGCAGCUCUUGAAUAAGGACAAGAAGUUCGAAUGGACGCUAAAGUGUGACGAGUGCUUCCAGGAGCUCAAGAAGAAAUUGACAACGGCCCCAAUUUUGGCUAACCCCGAUACCCGCAAGCAAUUUGUGAUAUAUUCUGACGCAUGAAGGUCCGGGCUUGGCGGUGUCCUGAUACAAGAAGGUAAAUUCGUAGCCUAUCUAUCCAAACACCUACACCCUCACAAAGAGAACUUCCCCACUCAUGAUCUGGAGCUGGCAGCGGUAGUUCAGGCCUUGAAGACAUGGCGACUUUACCUUCUGGGUAAGCGAUGUAAGAUAUACCUACACCACAAGACUUUGAAGUAUAUGUUCACUCAAAAGGAAUUGAACAUGAGGCAUCGAAGAUGGUUUGAGUUGAUCAAAGACUACGACCUAAGCGUUCAAUACCACCACGGAAAGGCCAAUGUGGUGGCUGAUGCCUUGAGUAGAAAGGCUUGUUCCUUGAAUGCUAUGGUCAACGAAAGGCUACCCGCCUUGUAUGAAGAGCUUUAAAGCUUUGGGUUGGAGCUAGUCGCACCAGGACUCCUGGCCAACCUCGAAGCAAUGCCUACAUUAAUGGACGACAUGAAGGAAGCUCAGAAGAGACACGAGAGCAUCGAAGGAAUCAAGAAGAAGAUCCGUAAAGGCAAAGCCCCAGGAUUCUUAGUGGAUGCAUAAGGAGAUGUAUAGUUUGGAAAUCGCAUUUGCGUGCCCAGCAAAGUUGAACUGAAGAACAUGAACUUGCCGCAAGCACACGACACUCCGUAUUCCAUCCACCCUAGAGGAACCUGUCACACCGUGUUUUCACCUUAUUUAAACAGUAGUCUCUUCAAAACUUGAGUUUAUUAAAAAACAUUAAGCAAGUGCUAUGAGUGUCGUGAUUGCCAUUGUAUGUAUGUAUGCUUGAGUGAGUGUAUCCAAAAACAAUAUUUUUAUAACAUGAUAUUUCCAAAAAGAUCCUUUUCUCAUUUUGACUAUUUCAAAACCUUGCUUUGGGUUUGAACUACAAGACCCUCAUCCCAAGCGAGUGCCUUCAUCCAAAGAUUGUAUUCUGAUUUUAGCACUAAUAUAACUCUCCAAAAUCAUAAAAUAAUUACUUUAUAAAAUGUUUUUCUAUUUUAUUUCCAUGUCCUUUUCUGAGGCCGGAAAUGAUAUUUCUGAAUGGAAAAUUAUUUUUUUGCCUUAGAAAAAUCUGAGAAAAAUUGGAAAUACUCACACGACAUAUAUUUUCCAUACAUAAGAUUUUCAACCCCUAUUUAUGUUCAAAUUAUUUGAUCAAAUCCUUGAAAACCUAUUAUGUCUGUUUUGACAUUUUGAAAUAUUUUCAAGAAAUUCUAAGAAAAUUCUAGCAUGCUUCCAAAGCUAUAUUUGGUGGUCAUGCCAAGUUUCACCUCAUUCCAAGAUGGUUUGGUUCACCAAAUAUUCCUAAAACCUUCCCAGUCCAGAAUCAAGUUGUAGCAAGUCUACAUAGCAAAGUUUGUCCAUAUGGCAUGAAACUUUGGAGGAGUGCUCAACACCCCAAAUGAGGAGACCCUGCCAAAAAUUGGAUUUGUGGGGAUUAAUUUACCCACAUUCUCUUUUAAACGGACAAAACUGCCCAUUUGGGGGUGAUUUCAAGUUUGCACUGUCGAACUUGUCCAAUGGAGCUCAACGUUGGUGGAGCAUCCUAGUUUUGCAUAAAACCAAAUCCUCUUAACUUCUGGCAUCAGCGGUGGAGGUUAACUACCCCAAACACAUAUCAAACAACUUCUGCCAGUAUGGUCAAAUAACACUUAACAUCCUCUACACCCACUCCCUCCCAUCAAACUCUCAGUGCACGCUGAGAGCACCACUCCUCAAUUGCAGACGAGUGGCCCCUCUCUGGUUCCAAGAAGGAAAGCCAAAAACCCCAAUUUAGUCUCUGAUUCAAGGCUGACAGCCUCUCUCCAAGCACUUCCUUUGACCAACAAUGAGUCCCUCGGCUCCCAAGCGGCUAAGGGGCAUUUAUGACAACCCCCGAACAUGCCAGAUAGGGCCAAAGCACCGUACAGCGCGCUAGCAUGCCGUGGCAUGCCAAAACAUGCGCUCUGGGCGCGCUACAGUGCGCACCCGAGGCAAAGGAGGCCAGCCCCGGCCGGUUCUCACCUCCCCUAGGUGUCCCUCUGCGUCUUCGACAAACCUCCUGACUUGGGGCAGCCCCAGGGCCCCUUCUCCCCCUCUCUGCUGACCAGGGCGAUGCGUGCCCGCACGCGCCAGAUUCGGCCAGAAGUGCGCGGCCCCGUAGCACGCACACAAUGAGCCUCCUCUCUCUCUCUCGUUGAGUCUCUGGGGUCUCAAACCACGUCCGUGAAACCGUGGUAUCGACCCAGAGCCCUCUCUCCCUCUCUUGCAGCCGCGAUGAAACCACCGGCGCUGCCCGCUUGGUGCAUCAUUGCUAGCCUAUAAAUAGGCCCUCCCCCUUCAAUCCAGCACCUCACACCACUCCUCCAGACCCUCAAUCGAGGCCCUAGCCACUCCAUUCAAGCAGAGAGAGCUCCGGUGCUCGAGGUCGACCGAGGCCCCGCCGCUUUGGAGCUUCGUCAAUCUCGGGCUACAGGCCAGCUCUUGCGCUCCUCUCACCUCCUCCGUGACCGUAGAGAGUUCAGCAAGCCUCCACACCUCUUAGUAGAGCAUUUCCCUGUCCGUAGUACCCAACUCCACCACCACCCGUAUCACCUCCGUCGGGGCCACCUCGUCGCCGGUGACCAAGGGCCUCCCCGUCGUUCAUUCGACAAACAACAGGUAGGCGAUGAUCCCACGGUGCCAUUCCUGCCGUGACCUGGACUCGAGGGCGUCAGAAUCGCCGCCGCCCUGCCUCCCCUCCUCUCUGUACAGAGGAGGAAGACGACCCCGACAGGCAUGCCCCACAUAUCGGUGGCCAGUCUCUCCCCCUCUCUCCUGUCUUUGCCGCUAACCGUAGGGGCCUGUGCGUCACGUUCAAACCUGACGGCGCGCGUGCACCUAGGCUGCUGGCUGGCUAACUAGCCGGUUGGCCAGUUGGGCCGGCCUAGCCAUUGGCCGAGCCAGGACAGGGUUAAGCCAUUUUUCUUUUUCUUUCUAUUUUGAUUCCAAAUUAUUUUUGUAAAGUUAAAUAUUUAAUCAAAUAGAAAUAUUUUCCACCACAAUUCUUCUCAAAAUGUGUAGAAUUUAUUAGUGUUGUUGCACAAAUUUUUGUAAAUACUUUUAUGCAUGGCUUUGAUUAAAAUGCCUAGUUUAAAUAUUUUAGCCCCUAUUAAUUAGGUUUUAAAAAUAACUUUUUAAAGUGAGUUUGUGCUCUAUUUUGGAAUGAGCUUCUUGGGGGGGGGGGGUAUUACGACGAUAGAUUCCGGGUUCGACGAAGGACUUGAACCCGAAGACCGCGGAUAACUAGCUGAUCAAGGCAAGCAGCCCUUUGACCAUGUGUGGGAAAAAAUAUGCAAUACAUGUUGAUUAUUUUAUUCCGAUGCAUCUAGUUAAGACUAACCGGUACACCCCGACAUGGUGUUUCCGAUGGCUCCUCUGGAGCACUUGCAUUGAGCAUGACCUUACCAUCUAUGAGGAUCAUGCUGAUAAAAAGUUGACAUGUAAUAGUAGUGCUACGCAUAGGAUGAGCAUAUCCAUAAUGAUGUUAACACAAAGAUGAAAACAAAGGUUUUAUGAAAACCUCGUUGGGUGCCACUAAUGCCCGAGGGAGAUGGUUUUGAGCUGGAUGACCACUUGAGAAAUAAGUGGUGUACCGGAAAGUUUUUGUGUGAGUGGCUUCGGAAAUUGGAUUGAUUGAUGAUGUGUCGACCGUCCCAACCUUACAUGUGCGACCACGAUACCCAUUUAUGGGACGGGGCUUUGUUGACUACUUUGGUCGGUGCUAGCAAAGAGGCCAUAUUUCUUGUGGCAGGAGUGAUAUGUGGUCACUCCCGUGAUGGGGUCGUACCAGGUAGGUCUACUAUUCCAUUUUUACGUGUUCCGGGCACACCGUUGGUCCCUGCAUGGAUGAUACAUUCCAGAGUUUGUGCUCGUAAGACGUACAUCAUGUGGGUUGGAUACCUAUCGAGUGGACUCUUUGUCUGGUGUCUCCAGGGGAAACGCAAUGAUCGGGUACUUACCUCGGUUAUAUUAUAUACCGCGAGUCGUGUAUGACAAGGAAGUUUCCCGGAUCUCGUGCGUACAUCGUACAACCUUUGCAGAGUCUAAAACUAUUUGAAUAACCGUGUCCACGAUCAAGGACAAUUGGGUGGUGUUUCUUAAACUACGUCCAGUCGUUUCUGCAUAAAUUAUGAGUGUGUGUGUGUGUGGGUAAAAAGGCGUUGUCUGAGAAAGAUGAUAUGACAAGUUCGGUGACUUGGCAUAUAGGGUGAACAUGUGGUAUACAACCCUCAACAAAUAUGUUGAUAUAUGCGACCUGUUCUUAAGAUUACCAUCUAGCUUAUGAUGCAUAUCCACACAAGUACUUCAUGAUGUUCAUUUUCGAUUAAAACUUUCUUUCCGCAAAGACUGCAUAUUAUUUUAUUAUUGCAACUGCAUUAUCCGUAUCAUGGGUUGUUUGCGAGUACAUUCAAUGUACUCACUGGCUUGCCACUAGUUAUGUUAUUGACCAGACAUGGAGGAACCGGAGUUCGGAGAAGAAUUCGUCACCAGAGACGGACACAUGAACUAGGACGCUUCCCAGUUACAAUGCCUGUUGGUGAAGGCUGAUGGCAUGGGUUCCCGUUUAUUACCAAGAUUUCUGCUAGUAGUUGUAUUGGUGCGAUUGGCCGUAUAGGCCCUACCUAUGUGAGACUUGACCAUGGUGGUCCUCUGUUGUACCGAAUGGUAUGCUUGGAUGUAAUACUCUUAAUAUUCAGUAUGUGUGUGUUCGGUGAGCAUUGAUCUCUGGGAUCACUGAGCAUGUUCAUUGGGCGGUCUCGACUCGUAAGUCGGGGUCCCCAUAGAGCCAAGAUGUACCAAGACCUCAAGGAAAGAUUCUGGUGGCAUGGCAUGAACAGGGAAAUAUCUUAUUAUGUCGCUAAGUACGACAUAUGCUAGGGGUCAAAGUUGAGCAUCCGGACCCGUUGUACUAUUACAGCUCCUCAAGGUGCUAGAUUGGAAGUCAGACAAGGUCGGGGUGGACUUUAUCACCGAUCUGCCCAUGUCAAGCAAAGGUUAUGAUUCAUUUGGGUCAUUGUCGACCACCUGACCAAGGUAGCCCAUUUCAUUCCAGUCAAAACCACCUAUUAUGGAAGCAAGCUAGCCAACCUCUACAUCAACCGCAUCAUGAGUCUGCAUGAUAUUCCAAAGGAUAUCGUGGCAGAUCAAGGAACUCGGUUCACCUCAAGGUUAUGUAAGCAGGUCCAUGAAGCUAUGGGAACCAAGCUCUCUUUCAGCACUGCUUUCCAACCUCAGACACGCGGACAGAUGGAACAAGUAAAUUAGGUACUCGAGGACAUGCUCCAUGCUUGUGUUUUAAUAUAUGGAGACAAGUGGGAGAACUGUUUGGCCUUUGCCUACUUCUCCUACAACAACAACUAUCAGUCCAGUCUACAGAUGGCAGCAUUUUAGGUGUUGUAUGGACGCAAGUGCCGCACUCCCCUCAACUGGUCUAAGACCGGAUAAAUACUGAUCUUUGGACCAGAUAUUCUCUGAGAAGACGAGGAGCAAAUUCAACUCGUCAGGGAACGUCGCGAGACCACCAAGUCAAGACGGAAGAUCUACGCCAACUCGCACGGCCGAGAAGUGGACUUCAUCGCCGGAGAUUAUGUAUACCUCUCCGUCACGCCUCUGAAGGGAACAAAGCGUUUCCACGUCAAGGGAAAAACCACACCAAGAUGCAUUUGCCCCUUAAGAUCACCGCUAGGCAAGGAAAAGUUGCUUACCAGUUGGAGCUAUCACUCGAGCUUUCGAAUGUGCACAACGUCUUUCACGUGUCUCAGCUCCGGAAGUGCCUCCAAGUUCCCGACCGUCCGGACCUCUAUAAGGACAUUGAUCAUCAAGCCAUUGACCUUCAGCCAUACCUCGUUUAUCGAGGGAGACCAAUCUGCAUCUUGGAUGAAGCCAAGGGUUACACCCGAAGCCGCACCAUCAAGUACUUUAAUGUCCAGUGGAGCAACCACACCAAAGCAGAAGCAACAUGGGAGCAUGAAGACUACCUUAGAUCCAAGUUCCCUUAUCUUUUUAGAGCUUAGCCUAGGAAUCUCGGGGACGAGAUUCUUGUAAAGGGCUGAUCUGUCACACCCUGUGUUUGUACCACUUUGCCACAUUAUGUUUUUGCAAAAUUUGGAACCAAUUAAAACUUUUUGAGUGAUUGUGAUGGUUGUUUUGAUUGCAACAUGCUUGUGUGAUUGAUUGUGUUCUAAGUCACCAAAGUUAUUCUUCUCUCCAAAACUUCCUCUCCUGGAUCCAAAACCUUGCCUAAUGACCUUGCCAUGUGUAUAGGACUAGGAACUACUUUUAUUAAAAUAUCAUCUCAACAAAAGGGAAUUUAUUUAUUUUAAAAGUUUCAAAACCACUCAAUUGGGAUUUGCAUUACCAGGAGGGUUGUUAUACCCCAAAGAUUUUAUUUUGAUUCUAUUAUCAAAAUGAUUUCCCAAAAACACAAAAUAAUUAAUUUAAAAUUUAUUUCCCUAUUUUAUCUAAACACCCUUUUUGAGGCCAUAAAAGGUAUUUCAUAGGGAAAAUAUUUUUCUUGCUUUGAAAAUAUUUGAGAAAAUUUAGCAAAACUCAGUGGAUAUAUAUUUUCCAUACAUAUGAGUUUCAUCACAUGAUCAUGUUCCAUAUGAAAUAUUUUCCCUCAAAACACUUUCUGCCUAUUUCAAGCCGUUGAAAUAUUUCCAUAUGAAAUAUUCUCAAUAAAAUCCAAGAAAAUUCUAACACGUCACACAUGGUAUAGGUGGUGACCCGGGAAAAUUUCAUCUCAAUCCAAGUUGAUUUGGUUCACCUAAGAACCUCAAAACCCUCCGUGUCCAGAGCCAAACUUGAGCAACUUUACAUUGCCAAGUUUAUCCAAUUGAUCUCAAAUUUUACAAAGGUGAUCUAGGACCAAAAUAAGGAUGCUACACCAAGUUGUGCAUUUGUGGGACUUGAUUUGGUCACCAAAGUCACGAAGAAUCUAAUUAUGUCAAUUCUUGGGUAUUUUCAUGUUUACAUUGCCAACUUUGCUCAAAUGAGCUGAAACUUGGUGAACACUCUUGGUUUCUACCACAAUGCAGUCCUAUUUACUUUCACAACAAUUGGGUAAAGGUAAAUUGUCCAAGCAAUCUUCAAACACCUUCUAGUAGUUUGGUAAAGUUGCCGCUUUCACCACCUUUUCUCAUCUCCUUCACUUCAAUUUUCUACCACAACUUCUCCUAGUGAUGCUCUCCACCCCAGUAACUUUCCCACGACCAUACCUAAAUUUGUUUUGAUUGGGAACUAUAGGAAAACCCCUACAACAUUAAUUUUAUUUUUAAGAAAGGGGAUUUACACGUGUUACAAGGGGUAACAAGGGGGAUUAAAGCUAAAAUUACAGGUAUUUAGAGAUCAAUAAUCAAGUGGUAAGUGUGAGAUCCAUUCCAAGAUGUCAUCCUUGAAGGCUGGCUUAAUUCUGUGCUGCAUGAGAGAAAUACCAUGCACAAAUACUCCUCCCCACCUAUAAAAAUUGGGUCUUUCAUGCCUAAAUACUUUUGCAUUCCUGAUUAUCCAAAUGUUCCAACAAGCAAGGAAUAUCACUUCACACAAGAACGACAUCUUGAAAUCUCUCCUUGCAUUGAUGGUAACUUCUACCAUAGUAUUCCCCUAUGAAUAGUCAAUCUACAAGUAAUUCCAGACUCUAACACUGAAGUGACACUCAAAGAAAUGAGGAUCCCUUGUUUCUUGUUCACCCAAUGGGCAGAGAACACACUAAACACCAUCCUCCAUGUGCCAAUGCCUCCUUUCAACCAUAUCUUUGGUGUUCAGCCUAUGCAUAAUCAACAUCCGUGAAAAGACCUUGAUUUUCAUGGUGCAACAGGACCUCCAAAUCUAAGAGAGCAAAGGAUUAAAAGUAAGGUCGAAUUGCAUGCUCAUAUAGAAACACUUGGGCUUGAAUUGUUUGGAAGAACCCUACCACCACCAAGUAUCAUUGAGAUCUGCAUCUCUUCCAUGGGCCCCUGUCAGAUUUUGCAAGUCCAAAAAUCCUUUUAGGCUUGCUCACACAACGGCAGGUGGAAUAGACCCAUGAGUUGGUGCACAUUGAAAACUUCCUUGGUAGACAUCCAUGGGUCUUUCACAUAAGAAAAGAGCCUAGGGAACCUUGAUUCCAAAGUGGCAAUAUUAUCACCAGUUUUCCAAUGAUAUGAACAAAAGGGACACAGUGUCCCUAGCAUUUAUUGUUACCCAUCUUGAUGGCCUGAAUUGAGUCAGAACUUUGCAAAUAUCCUUCCACCAGAAUGAUCCACAAUCCCUAGUUGGUUGGGGGACUCUUUCACAAUAAUAAGUGCCCAAAAUUAGGGAUACCCAAGGAACAUCUUUUCUAUUCAUGAAGUGAUUUGCAUGCUUUAGCAGUAAUACCACAUUCUGGAUUCCAAGAUUCAUGAUUCCAUGUCUUCCCUUAGCUUUGGGUGUGCAAACCAAGUCCCAGGCAACAAGAGAAGGAGCAGGUCCAUCCUUAUGUUUCCCCCAAAGAUACUGUAUCUGAAUUCUCUCAAGCUAUUUAGGGAUGCCAAGAGGAAUAGCUAAGCUACUUUAGAAGAACACUGGCAGUGAAGAUAAGACACAAUAAAGGAAUUGCAACCUUUACCAUGGGUUAAGGAAAGCAGAACUGGCAGUCAUUUUCCUUUCUAUGCAGUCAACCAAUGGCAUGAAAUCCACCAUCUUUGGUCCAAAUGUCCCUAGGGGGAGCCCUGAAUAAGUGAAAGGCAUUUUACCCGGUUGACAGGAAAAAGUUUCACAAGUUCCUUUAUGGUCUCAUCAUCAACAUUAAUUGGUAUGAUAGAGAACUUAUGAUAGUUAACAUCAAGCCCACUUGACUGAGAAAAAAUCUUGAGCAUGUCCCUGAGAGCAAGUAAUUGCACCUUAUCAACUGGUAGAAUGAUGAGAGUAUCAUCAGCAUAUUGAACAAUAGGAUAGUCCUGGUGUGGUGACCGGUUUUUCAGAAAAUACUUUCUAGAAAACUAGUCUUUGUGUUCACCAGCCCCAGGACUACUAUUAACUGGUGGACAAUCACUUGAUACAGAAAAUCCAAGAAAAAUACAAAAUCUGGGUUACUAGACCAUGAAGGUCUACUUGUUCGAUCAAAAUUCUGAGGCUGAUGGCGGAUGCGAAUCGAGGAAUCUCCAGUGCCCGUGGGACACCAUUCCCACAGGAACAAUUGACCUGGACAAAUUCCUAUCUCACAAGGCUACUAUCUUGGACUCCUAGGUUCCGGGGUUGAGGGCAUCGUUCUCAUCUCCAAACACAAUCUGGCCAAGACAAUAGCCAGGACAAGCUAGUGACUACUUUGAAUGUACUCCAAAACAUCAAGAAAACAGGUAAGUUAACGCAGGUGAGAUGCAUGUAUAAUCAACUUAAUGACUCUAUCAUGUCGAGACUUGUUUCCACCAAUACUGUACAAACAACAAGGAGGGUAAUUAAUCAAUAAGUUUGUGGAUCGGGCGUCUGAGGCGACACCACAAAAUGACAAGUAACACAAGCCAUACUCGAGCGUCUUAGAGACACCACAUAAAGGGACUUGUCAAUGGAAUAAUACUAACAUGCCACAGUUGCGCGUCUGGAGCGACACCACAAAAAAGGCAUAUAUGAAGGUAAUGAUAAGUAAGUAAUAUCAUGUGUGCCACAAUCAGGCGUCUGAGCGACACCACAAAAAUGACUUAUAUGAAAGAAAUAACAGUUGCCACACUCGGACGUCUAAGCGACACCAUAGGGCUUUAAUGAAAGUAGGGGGGGGGGGGAUAAUGAUGAUGAAUAUCCAGGAAGUAGUACCGUCGCAGGGAUGUUCAACAAUCAUGAUCAUAAGGGUUAGUCCAAAUUAAAUUAAUAAUCAUAAGCAUUCACCAUAUACCACAAAGAUUAGUCCACCUCAAGAUUUCAUAAUAAUAAUAGAGGUGAUCAUCCGGUUUUAUUUUAAUUCCCUCCAAAGACCGACACUCACAUCAACACUUGACUAGUCAACAAGUCGUCCUUGACCGUGGACACAACUACUCGAAUAGUUUUGACUCUUCAGAGGGUGUACAUUUUACCCAAAGCCCACGGGAUUCAAUAGUCACUCAGACUAAUCCCGUGUAUGGUAUUUUAGAAGUAAACACUCAGAAACAGCACACAUCCAUUUUUCCACCGCAAAAACCUGACUCAAAAGGACUACGCUGCCAUGGAAAGACCAUAACAUGGAGAGGCUCCAACCUUGACAAGCAUGGGAUCAAAUUUAUACCGCGCGCUACAAGGGAAGGGCCAUUCCCUCUCGGUACCAGACCGGAAACACCCAUGCCCCCUGACUGGAUGACUGGAUUUAGUCCAGGGCCAUGGAUACCUUCAUCCCGACGUCUCUACUUGGUGUGUACCUGGUACUAGUCUUAUGACAUACUAAACCAUAUUCCCUUUUAGGAAGACAUGUGGAAGCACGUAAAGUAAGGCGACACAUAGACAAGACUCAAUCUACGGUCGACUUAGGAGGUUUAAGAUUUCCUGCAAGGGUAGUACCACAAAAUCUUGCUGAAAGAAUUAUCUCAGUGUUACUACAAUCAGACCUCGACAUGCCUUCAUGGACCACUCUUGUCCCACGAGAUGUGAGGCCCAUGGUCUCAUAUCCACCGUGACAACCUUCCUCCAAGGUCAUCCACACCAACAUAUCAUACGAGGCAUGAGGUAGUACCCACUCACCGUUUGCAUCCCAUAUGUUCGGCAACACAAUUAUCCAUCACAAGCACUCAUGCAAGUAUGAUUUUAUGUGGGGGGUUUAUCAACAUAACCCAAAAUCACGCAAUAAUGCACCACAACAAAUAUCGCACAACUGCGUACAAAUAAGAGUUCAAGAUGCUUGCCUUUGAAGUUUAGGAGGGUGGUGUGCACCCAAAAAUCUUGAAGUAAGCCUCCUCUCUCCAAGUUCCUAUUUUGAAAAUAUUAGAAUUAACACAUAAAUUCAAUAGAUCACAUAAAAGUUGUUUUAAUAUUUUGGAAAUAAAUUUUUAAAUAAACUAGAGGACAUUUUAGAGAGGUAGAAAAAAGAAUCAGUCCAUUUGGAGUUUUCUUUAAAAAGUUAGAGCCAGUUAAAGAUCCUGGUCAAAUCUGUUUUAUUAAGGAAAGAAAAAGAAAACGUUUUGCUUAAAUUGCGCUAAACGAAUAGGGGAGGCGUACUCAUGUUGAUACGCUUUCUCAGGGGGAAGACGUGCUGCGGGGUAGGCGCCAUCACGGGCUUGGGCUGACUCAUCGACACACGGGACCUGCCUGUUAGGUUCCUCUCCUACCUCCCGUGCGUGCACUGGAAAGGGUGAAGAGUGGACGCCGGCGGCGGUUGACGAUGCAAGGGGGUGCCAUCCACGGAGCUGAGCAUGCCGGAAUGCUCGAGAGGGAGGGCCCCAUCAUUUAGGGGACAUGCGGGUAGCAGGGUAGCUCGAGGGCGAGCACAACCCAGGUCAUGGCGGACAGAGAGUUCUGGCGCACCGGCAUCUCCACCACGACCAGCCAUGGAUGGAUUUUGCAGGUGGGUUGGUUAGGUGGGGCUUGAAGAGGUUAGCAAGGGCCAAGGGGGAACGACAGGGGCUCGGAACUGCUGCAAUUUUGCCGGAGGCAGACGGAGGAGCUGCGGCCAGAGAGGAGUAGAGCGAGCGGCUCCGGCUAAAUUGGAGCGAGGGGGAGGCUCCUAAGGGUCCAUGGAUGGCGCUGGUUACUCAAAUGGAGCUCGAGACCUCCUUUUAUAGCCGUCCCG